rfam:Schistosoma mansoni strain Puerto Rico chromosome 1, complete genome
AUCCAGCUGACGAGUCUCAAAUAGGACGAAACACGGGUCAAACUGGAU